rnacentral:lncRNA from 1 species
UAGUCCAGCUUAGUCCAGUCUAAGCCAGUCCAGCUUAGUCCCGGUAGCUAGUCCAGUCCAAGACAGUCCGGCGCAACAAACACACCCUCAAUGGACUAUAUAGUUGCCUUAGGGCCUUAGGAUGACUAUGAACCUUUGAUUAGAUCCAACACGAGCCUAGUGUUGAAUCUUGGUCUAGGGAUGGUGAUUGAUUUUAGUUACGCGUUUAAUCAUAUUAAGGCGUGUUUUUCCUAUUGGGCGUUGGACCCAACUACUCCAAUUUCAUACAUAUCAAAUAAAACAAGAAAAUGAGUACUUCAAAGUAAAGAAGAGCUUUUGCUCUUUUACAACAUUUGAUCAAAACAAAUUACUUUAAAGUAAAGAAGAGCUUAUGCUCUUUUACAACAUUUGAUCAUAUCAAAUUACAACCAAAAUCUAAUCUACACAUUCCCAUGGUUCAAACAGAUUUGAGACGGCCUUUCACAUAGCUCAAUUAUCAUAGGCUUAGGUUUAUAAUCACCCUUUAAUUAAUUAACGUUUUAACUAAUUAAACUUGAAUGCAACAUUGUCAUUUGGUUUUUGUAUCCAUAGAAUUGAUUUAAAUGGAGCUAGAUGAAAUGAAAAUCCAAUUCUCAUUUAAAGAGACAAAACCAUUUUGUUCUCAACCUAAUUUGGGCCAAAAUGCAAUAACCUCAACUUUUGGGCUAUAUUGCAAAACAUAAACUUUUGAGGUCACUUUGUAAAAACACAAAAGUCAACUACUUCAUGUAAUUACAACUAGAACCCAAAAAUUUCAACAAAUUCAAAAACUUCAUUAAAUGAACAAAACAAUUUGUCCUUUAGUGAUUUUAGGCCUUUACGUAAGAAACGUAAACUUUUGGGUCAAACUACAAAUACACAAAAGUAUCUAAACUUUAUGUAAUUGCAUAAAAGCUCCAAAACUACCCUACUUGUAGGGUGGCCGGUUUUGGAGAGAGUAAAGCCAUAAAACUUUUGAAAUUUUUUUCAACAAAGUCAUAAAGCCAUGCCAGUGGAAAUGGGUUGGUGGGAAACAUGUGUGUAAGAAAAAUAUCCAAUUAUGUACAUAAAUUCAAACACUCUAUCAACAUUUCAAUCACCUUUCCAAAUAAAUGUCUUGUUGAUAGAAAAUUCAAACCAACCAACACAAAACAAAGACUUUAUGAAAUCAACCAAAACUUUGAAUCAAAACACCAAACUUCUUGUUCUUGGUAAGAACCUCAAGAACAAUGAAGAACAUUCAUGAAAACCCAUAAGAGUUCCAUGAACAUUUUCACUCAAUAAAACUCAAAUUUUCACUACUCAAAA